rnacentral:rRNA from 1 species
UACGUAGGGGGCAAGCGUUGUCCGGAAUCAUUGGGCGUAAAGCGCGUGUAGGCGGCUCGAUAAGUCUGCUGUGAAAGUCCAGGGCUCAACCCUGGGAUGCCGGUGGAUACUGUCGAGCUCGAGUCCGGAAGAGGCGAGUGGAAUUCCUGGUGUAGCGGUGAAAUGCGCAGAUAUCAGGAGGAACACCAAUGGCGAAGGCAGCCCCCUGGGCCAAUACUGACGCUCAGGCACGAAAGCGUGGGGAGCAAACAGG